rnacentral:rRNA from 1 species
UACGUAGGGGGCAAGCGUUGGUCCGGAUUUAUUGGGCGUAAAGAGCGUGUAGGCGGCCAGACAGGUCCGUUGUGAAAACUCGAGGCUCAACCUCGAGAUGUCGAUGGAAACCGUCUGGCUAGAGUCCGGAAGAGGAGUGUGGAAUUCCUGGUGUAGCGGUGAAAUGCGCAGAUAUCAGGAAGAACACCUAUGGCGAAGGCAGCACUCUGGGACGGUACUGACGGCUGAGACGCGAAAGCGUGGGGAGCGAAC